CUCUCUCUCUCUCUCUCUCUCUCUCUCUCUCUCUCUCUCUGCUUCUAUCCUUCUUCUGCACUAUUUAUCUAAACCUGCUUCACUGCUCUCCGCUCCUCUCUUCUUUUCUUCCACAAAUUUCUCCACUUUUAUCCCUCCUUUUAUAUUCCUUAAUUCUCUACUUCCUCCCAAUAUCUUCUUUAUCGACUAAGCUCACUUUCUUAUUACCGAUCCCCAGUAGACGGCACUGCUUUCGUUUCUCCAACCCGCUAUUUUCUAACCUCACUUUCUUUCCUUUUUAAUUUCCUUCUCACGCCUGUUUUCGCUUUAACUUCUGUCCUACUUCCUUUUCUCCCUAAACUCAAACCUGCUCCUCUCUACUUCCACCUCCCAAUCCUUGUACAAUCACUCUUUUCCUUCUGAAACUACUCAAAAUUCACUUCCCUUUCUCUUACAGUCACCACUCGUAAAAUUCAGCAUCCAGUCACUGCUGUUUUUCUACUUUACAAAUUAAUAACUUCGAGAAAUUACUUAUUUCUGUUAGAACUGUUAUACACUUUCGAGCAAAACCAAAUUCGACAAACAAGCUCGUUAUAGCUUGUUAGUAAAGUUACGUAUCGUGUGUAUACUUGCAUUUGAUUAAGUACAUUUUAUUCAUCGUAGCGGUCCCUCGUAUUUCUGAAAUCAUUGGUGAGCGGCAAGCAAUCUAACGCUGGAGGAAUUCCUCAACAAGAUGGUUGCGAAGAACGUUAGCAAGGACAUCAAGCUAGAAUUCAAAAGCAUCGAGGCUUUUAACACGAAUAAACCUAUCUUGGAAAAAUUUUGCAAUAACGUACCGACUUGUGCCAGUGAAUGCGACCGCCAUGCUAGUCAAGGCAGAAUCUUUCCUGACUAAAGCCAGAGCGUAUGUAAAGUAAGUAUGCUGUCGGUCGGUUGAACCACCAGGUGAGAAUGAUGAAUUCCGACCAGUUUAAAAUUCCGUGGAAUGUUUCGAGAUCUCAUCGAUUCGCGUUUCAGGUACAAGGCUAAGGACAAUGCCACCGAAGGUCGAUAUACAGAAAAGAAAAUUUAGGAAAUGAUCAAAUCCCUGAAGAAGCAGAAGAUUAUUCAGUCGAUAAUUUAUCCAGUCCGGCGUAUAACAUCCAGGUGAUCAAGUCGUUGUUGGAGAAGAGACACGAAGAACGCAAUUCUGAUCGUUUGAUCGAGCAAGAGU